rnacentral:rRNA from 1 species
CGGACGGGUGAGUAACGCGUGGAGAACCUGCCGUAUACUGGGGGAUAACACUUAGAAAUAGGUGCUAAUACCGCAUAAGCGCACAGCUUCGCAUGAAGCAGUGUGAAAAACUCCGGUGGUAUACGAUGGAUCCGCGUCUGAUUAGCUGGUUGGCGGGGUAAGGGCCCACCAAGGCGACGAUCAGUAGCCGGCCUGAGAGGGUGAACGGCCACAUUGGGACUGAGACACGGCCCAAACUCCUACGGGAGGCAGCAG